UUUCAGUGAAGUAGAGAAGAUAUGACAGAAGCUGAGAUAUAUGAUUUUGUUGCCAAAUGGUCUCGCUACAUUCUGCUCUGCAUCUGGAUUUUUGAUAUCGUCCUGAUAUUCAUCAUAUAUCACUUGAAAACAAAUUUUAGUAUCAGGAUUGAAAAUUACCUGAACAGACACCAACAAGAGGACAGUGUCGACAACAGAGCAAGCGGCUCUACAAGUGAGGAGUCCACUUGAAACAGUAAUUGAAAGAUAAAUAUCCGAUUGCUCUCACUUAACUGUAGCAGCUUAAAACAAUAACAGGCAUUAUUGCGUUGAUCUGUUUUUGUUCAUUUCUUUUAACCAUGUAUUUUGUUUAUAUCAGGAUUUAAAAUGAAAUAACAGGCA